AUUGAACGCUGGCGGCAUGCCAUACACAUGCAAGUCGAACGGCAGCACGGGUGCUUGCACCUGGUGGCGAGUGGCGAACGGGUGAGUAAUACAUCGGAACAUGUCCUGUAGUGGGGGAUAGCCCGGCGAAAGCCGGAUUAAUACCGCAUACGAUCUACGGAUGAAAGCGGGGGACCUUCGGGCCUCGCGCUAUAGGGUUGGCCGAUGGCUGAUUAGCUAGUUGGUGGGGUAAAGGCCUACCAAGGCGACGAUCAGUAGCUGGUCUGAGAGGACGACCAGCCACACUGGGACUGAGACACGGCCCAGACUCCUACGGGAGGCAGCAGUGGGGAAUUUUGGACAAUGGGCGAAAGCCUGAUCCAGCAAUGCCGCGUGUGUGAAGAAGGCCUUCGGGUUGUAAAGCACUUUUGUCCGGAAAGAAAUCCUUGGCUCUAAUACAGUCGGGGGAUGACGGUACCGGAAGAAUAAGCACCGGCUAACUACGUG
rnacentral:rRNA from 1 species